ACUUCAUUCUUCCAGUUGCUCAAAACAGAACACUACAAGAUAUUUUUUCCUGUAAUUGAGGUGAAGUCUGGAUACCAUGGUCCAAAAAAUGCAUAGAGAGAACCGAGCACAAGAGAGGUGAAAUGAGUCCUUUUUUCUUAACUGCUUGGAGUUCUUCUGAUCUAAAUGCCAAUAAAUAAGGAGGUGAAAUUCAUACACAAGCACUCCUGGAGGGAAGGCAGCAUGAAGAGGCUCAGGGAGAAGACAGCCAUCUACAAGCCAAGGCGAGAGGUUGGGAACACGUCCUUCCCCCACGGUCAGCAGAAGGAAUCAACCCUGCCACCCGCUGAUUUUGGACUUCUAGACUCCAGAAUUAUUUGGAGUCAGAGCCCAGCAAAUCCUCGCUCUCGCAUUUCCUGCCUGUGUGACUUUGAGCAAGCCACUGGAACACUCUGAGCUUUGGUUUCACCAUCCGCAAGAUCUGGGAAAAUGCUUAUCACAGUAAGAAUCGCAUGAGCUCAUGGUAGGUGCUCACAAGUCAUCAGGACUUUGCCUUCCUAUUCCACUCUCUACUUCUUUACUAGAUAAAGGAAAUCAUGCACCAUGUGACCCUGCAGGGGCACCAAAGCCCUAAGGCCUAAACUUGACUUGGCAGGACAUGUUCAUUUGCGGGGGCUUGAGUUUGACAGUCAGCAAAGCCAUCCUUUAGCUGGGCCUGGGAAAUGUGUUUCCAGGGAAGCAGCCAGGUUCCUUCUCUUGGUGGAAUGCUAAAGUUAUCUCAUUAACUCCUCUUUUUUUUUUUUUAGAACCUGUGGAUGUGUGAGUGUGAAGGAGAGGUGAAGGCCUAUAGAUAAGUUGGUGAAUCUUGCUCUGUCUGUUCCUAGGACUUGCUCUGGGAAACUGCUCUGGGUUUGUGUUUAUCCCCUCUCUCUUGCCUUUUUUUUUUUUUUUU